CCAUGGACCUUCUCUUCCAUCGAGUCAUGGCUGAGGAUGGUGAGGAGCACAGAAUUGCCUUCCCUCUCCCAGGAUUGAGGAGCAGGACAUGAACUGCCAGGAUUCAGGUGGUCCCCAAAGACCAUCUCUGCUCUUCGUGGGUAUUUCUGCAUCAGAACCACUCCGUCCCCACCACCCUCCGAGAGCUCAGGUGCAAAUCAUCUCCUCAUUAAGGUGAGCUCUCUUUUCUCUCCUUCCCUGAUGUCCUUGGAAGGAAGACAGCAAAUAAGAGUUUGCUUUGAAGAUGCCUGAUGAGUAAAAGGAUGCUGAGUGUGGUCAAUGUUCCUCUCACCUUCUCUGCCACCAGCUCAGACUUGACUUCUGGCACUGCUGUAAGCAGUUGUAGCAAGACAGGUGAUAUUCAGAGAUCUGGCUUUAGUGAUUGUUUUAACACCAAGGGAGUUUUUGUGUAG
rnacentral:lncRNA from 1 species